rnacentral:rRNA from 1 species
AUUCGGAGGGGGUUAGCGUUGUUCGGAAUUACUGGGCGUAAAGCGCGCGCAGGCGGCUUGAUAAGUUGGAUGUGAAAGCCUACGGCUCAACCGUAGAACUGCAUCCAAAACUGUCAGGCUAGAGUGUGGGAGAGGAAGAUGGAAUUAGUUGUGUAGGGGUAAAAUCCGUAGAGAUAACUAGGAAUACCAAAAGCGAAGGCAAUCUUCUGGAACACUACUGACGCUGAGGCGCGAAGGCGUGGGGAGCAAACAGGAUUAGAAACCCCAGUAGUCC